AGACGCGGCACACGGCUCAGUAACAUGUGGCUAACCUGCCCUUAGGACAGGGGCAACCCCGGGAAACUGGGGCUAAUUCCUGAUAGGUGUGGAUUCCUGGAAUGGACUCACACCCAAAGGGCGUCUAAAUCAUGCUUUACACAUCGCCUAAGGAUGGGGCCGCAGCCGAUCAGGUUGUUGGCGAGGUAACGGCUCACCAAGCCUAUAACCGGUACGGGCCGCGGGAGCGGUAGCCCGGAGAUGGACACUGAGACAAGGGUCCAGGCCCUACGGGGCGCAGCAGUCGCGAAACCUCCACAAUGCGCGCAAGCGCGAUGGGGCUAUCCCGAGUGCCGUCCGCUGAGGAUGGCUUUUCUCCAGUGUAAGGAGCUGGAGGAAUAAGGAGAGGGCAAGUCUGGUGUCAGCCGCCGCGGUAAUACCAGCUCUCCGAGUGGUAGGGAUGAUUAUUGGGCUUAAAGCGUCCGUAGCUGGCUUAGCAAGUCCUCCGUUAAAUCCAACGAUUCAAUCGUUGGACUGCGGGGGAUACUGCUGGGCUGGGGGACGGGAGAGGCCGACGGUAUUCUCGGAGUAGGGGUGAAAUCCUAUAAUUCCG
rnacentral:rRNA from 1 species